GCCCAGGUGGUGAAACUGGUAGACACAGCGGACUUAAAAUCCGCCGAUGCCGAAAGGCGUCGUGCCGGUUCGAUUCCGGCCCUGGGCACCA
rnacentral:tRNA from 1 species